AAACUCCUGUCAAGAGGGAAUAAGCAAGUGAAGGUACCUCUAGAGGAAGGGGCGGCUAAUUCCGUGCCAGCAGCCGCGGUAACACGGAAGCCCCGAGCGUUGUUCGGAUUCAUUGGGCGUAAAGGGUGCGUAGGCGGCGCGGAAAGUCCGGCGUGAAAGGCAGGGGCUCAACCUCUGGACUGCGUUGGAUACUUCCGUGCUUGAGGACUGGAGGGGAGACUGGAAUUCACGGUGUAGCAGUGAAAUGCGUAGAUAUCGUGAGGAAGACCGGUGGCGAAGGCGAGUCUCUGGACAGAUCCUGACGCUGAGGCACGAAGGCUGGGGGAGCGAACAGGAUUAGAUACCCUGGUAGUCCCAGCAGUAAACGAUGUGAGCUUGAUGUGGGGGGAUUCGACCCCUUCCGUGUCGAAGCUAACGCGAUAAGCUCACCGCCUGAGGAGUACGGCCGCAAGGCUAAAACUCAAAGAAAUUGACGGGGACCCGCACAAGCGGUGGAGUAUGUGGCUUAAUUCGAUGCAACGCGAAGAACCUUACCUGGCCUUGACAUGCAUUGUGUCGUCGGUGAAAGCCGGCUAGUCCUGGAAACAGGACGCUUUGCACAGGUGCUGCAUGGCUGUCGUCAGCUCGUGUCGUGAGAUGUUGGGUUAAGUCCCGCAACGAGCGCAACCCUUGUGGUCAGUUACUAACCGGCUUAGCCGGAGGACUCUGGCCAGACUGCCCUGUCAAACGGGGAGGAAGGUGGGGACGACGUCAAGUCAGUAUGGCCCUUAUGGCCAGGGCCGCACACGUACUACAAUGCCCGGUACAAUGUGAACCGAAACCGCGAGGUGGAGGAAAUCGCUCUUGAAAACCGGGCCCAGUUCGGAUUGGAGUCUGCAACUCGACUCCAUGAAGUCGGAAUCGCUAGUAAUGGCGUAUUAGCAACGACGCCGUGAAUACGUUCCCGGGUCUUGUACACACCGCCCGUCACAUCAUGGAAGU
rnacentral:rRNA from 1 species